rfam:Rattus norvegicus chromosome 9, whole genome shotgun sequence.
GGGUCCAGAGGACAAUCUGGCUGUGACAUCUGUCAUCCCAUUGAUAGCCAUAGUUGAUUCAGCUGAUCGGGCUGGUUAGGUGGGAGUCCUCUUCCUCCCUUAUCACUCCAUGUGUAUCCCUCCCAAAGCUGUGAAUUAGACCUUCCCUGAAUAGAGGAGGACCAGUCCUCAGUCAAGGGUAUAUGAGUAUCUCUGCUCCACUGCUAGAACCUCCAAAUAAACUCUCCAUCUCAAAAUUUUAAAGGCAAAAAUGUUCCUGUCCAAAGGAAAGACAGACACAAAAAAU